rnacentral:rRNA from 1 species
GAUGAACGCUGGCGGCGUGCCUAAUACAUGCAAGUCGAGCGAACGGACGAGAAGCUUGCUUCUCUGAUGUUAGCGGCGGACGGGGGAGUAACACGUGGAUAACCUACCUAUAAGACUGGGAUAACUUCGGGAAACCGUAGCUAAUACCGGAUAAUAUUUUGAACCGCAUGGUUCAAAAGUGAAAGACGGUCUUGCUGUCACUUAUAGAUGGAUCCGCGCUGCAUUAGCUAGUUGGUAAGGUAACGGCUUACCAAGGCAACGAUGCAUAGCCGGCCUGAGAGGGUGAUCGGCCACACUGGAACUGAGACACGGUCCAGACUCCUACGGGAGGCAGCAGUAGGGAAUCUUCCGCAAUGGGCGAAAGCCUGACGGAGCAACGCCGCGUGAGUGAUGAAGGUCUUCGGAUCGUAAAACUCUGUUAUUAGGGAAGAACAUAUGUGUAAGUAACUGUGCACAUCUUGACGGUACCUAAUCAGAAAGCCACGGCUAACUACGUG